GUAAACUUCUUUUGCAGGGGAAUAAAGUGCAGGACGCGUCCUGUUUUGUAUGUACCCUGAGAAUAAGGAUCGGCUAACUCCGUGCCAGCAGCCGCGGUAAUACGGAGGAUCCGAGCGUUAUCCGGAUUUAUUGGGUUUAAAGGGUGCGUAGGUGGUUUGAUAAGUCAGCGGUGAAAGUUUGCAGCUUAACUGUAAAAAUGCCGUUGAAACUGUCGGACUUGAGUGUAAAUGAGGUAGGCGGAAUGCGUGGUGUAGCGGUGAAAUGCAUAGAUAUCACGCAGAACUCCGAUUGCGAAGGCAGCUUACUAAGCUACAACUGACACUGAAGCACGAAAGCGUGGGGAUCAAACAGGAUUAGAUACCCUGGUAGUCCACGCAGUAAACGAUGAUUACUAGCUGUUUGCGAUACACAGUAAGCGGCACAGCGAAAGCGUUAAGUAAUCCACCUGGGGAGUAC
rnacentral:rRNA from 1 species